rnacentral:tRNA from 1 species
UCCCCGAUAGCUCAGUUGGUAGAGCGACGGACUGUUAAUCCGCAGGUCGCAGGUUCGAGCCCUGCUCGGGGAG